rnacentral:misc_RNA from 1 species
CAAGUUAAUAAAAAGAACGGAGACGAUACUUGGAGCAGCUAGCCGCCUCCUUUUUCCAUUGACGCGCGCAAAGACUCGCCCCCCCCCCCCUCCACCUCGCUAGCGCACAUCCACAGACACACACGCGCAAGCCAUAUCACAAAAAGGGAAAACAGCAGUAGCAGAGGGACUGCAGAGGGUCCGAUAGGACUAAGAGCGGAAGGAAAGGCGGCUGAGAGUCAAGUGGGGGGGGGAGAUGCGUCGGACACAAGCGAAAGAGAAGCCACGCAAGUAUCGCAGAUCUUGUUUCAUGCGCCAUGAACCAGUGCGGCAAUGAGUAUUAUUGUGACGGUAUGCAAGGACGGACAUCUUUUCCCUUUGCGGAAUGAUAUGCAGGAUAGAAAAGGCGUUCAUUUUCUAAGACACACACCGACGAAAAAAAAUGGCGCGAAUUCCAUCAAGCGUCAACACGAUUUCCACCGCGAUCUCCGUCAAGCCGAAGCGUACCCGCGCCCGUCCGUACAUGCAGACACGUACACGCCCGCAAACGCAUAGAGACGAGGAUAGGACGGGAUGAACGCAAGAAGUGACGCGAAUAGGGUAUCUCCCUGCAUGCAGUGUUUGCGCUGCUGUUCCCCUUCUUUUUGCUCUUUGCUCUUCGGUUAUGGUGGCAGUUGCCUGUCUCCCCCGAAUCUUCUUUCGCUUCCCGGGAGGUGUGCGUGUGUGUGUGUGUGCUUUCCGUCUUUCGUGGGGGGGCGGGACGGGUGAAAUUUCAUGCAUCUGUCCGCCUGCUUGUUUUUAGCUCGAGGGCGUUUGUGAAGGGCAACGGAUACCUCGAAAACGUCAAACGCCACUACACUGCGAGUAGGACGUACGAAGGGAACCAGGAUACGUCAGAGAACCUUGACGAAACAAAGGCUCCGUUAACCUCCCUUUUUCUUUGUAAUUCUUUGGCUGUGUGCGUUUUGUCGUGGUGCCCUUUUGCGUUAAGAGAGAGUCGCGGCCAUCCAAGUCAUCGUUGAAACACAGGUCCUCUUCUCUCUUCUGCAUUCGUUUUGACUUUCUCUUUUUUUUGGUAUUCCGACUUCUUUUCGCUUGCGACGCCCAAGACGCAGCGGUUUACUUGGAUUUCAUCGCUUGCGUGUUCCCUCUUGUUGCCUUUUCCCGCCUCCGAGAGAACGAACGCCUGUUUUUUUUUUAUCCCCCCCCCCUCUAUCACGAAUGCGGUUUCGAUUACCACUCCUCCGUCUCUUCACAUCUCUUCCACCUCUUCACUUUUCUUUCCCUUUUUUUUUCCUUUCAGUCUCGCCCGCAGCCCACUCCCUUCUUUACUCUUGCUGCGCACCGCGGAACACACACUGCACGCAAACACGCGCAUGCCCUUUUUUUUUCUUCUGGAGAAAUACGGAGGGGGCCAAGGGUACAAACGCACUGAUCAUGUCUACACUCUUGGUGGCUCAGCCGCUGAUCCCACACGUCCUACCCAGUUUGUUGAUCCCUUCUACGUUCUUUUCGUGUGUGUGUGUGUGUUUUCAGCGCGCUGAAUCUCUUGUGUUCGCAUGCGGCAUACUUUGUGUCUUCAAAGUCUCCGAAGGCUUAUCCUUCUCAUGUGUUCGUUCUGAUUUAUCUGCUGGGGCCUGUGGACGUUCUCGAUUUCGUUUAUAUCUCUCCCGUCCACACGGGGCUCACCAUGAUGGUGACCGAUAUUCCAACGAAAAAAAAAAAGACAAGUAUCGUCCAUCUCUGUCUCUUCCUUUUUUAUUACUCACUUCGUUGUUUUCGCACAUGUAACUUUUUUUUUCGGCUUCGUUCCGUUCUCCGCCUCGUUGGCAGCCGCGCUACUGUGGUAUGAGUGUCUACCGCCCAUCAAAUGGAACGGCUCACAUGUUCUACCUUUUUGUUGUUUCACAUACACGCGUGGCCUGACUUGCUUGCUUUUUUUUUGUUUUCUUCUUUUCUGUUGAGUGUGUGUGAUCAGCUUUCUCUUGCUGCAUUGCUGCUGGGCCCCGUUGGUCAAAUGAACUGCCCACUUUUUUCUCUUUAGGGCGCAGGGCUGGGGAAAGGCUGAGACUUCCUUGUUAUCCCCUGCACCCUUGCCGUUUUUUGCCACCAUCGCCGCUGUCCAGCUUUGCGUGUAUUUUCUUUUUUUUUUCUGCCCUCUAGCCUCCCCCUUCUCUGUCUCACUCAUUAUCGAAGCAGAUCGAACAGAGAGAGAAUCCAGAGAACAGGAAAGAGACCCUUCGCACACGUGUGACCGAUCUAAUCCUUCUGUUCCCAGAGGCCUCCCUGCUGAUCUUGCCUGCCCUGCUGCUUAUAGCAGCCUCUUUUUGUUGUUGUUCUUGUUGUUUUCCUUUGCGUUGUGGCGAUUACGGCUGCACUUGAUCUUUCAUAUUUUCCGUUGCUGUGCUUUGCCUGUGCUCUCCCGCGUCACACUUCUCGUGUUGCCAUCUCUCUCUUCUUUGUUUGUUUCUUCUUCGUGCUAGACGCUCUCUCCUCUUUCGCACCUCCUCCAACCCUCCACCACCGCCACCCCCUUUUAUUUUUGGGGGGGGGGUGGGAGGGAGGGAAGGGAGGGGAGGAGAGUGUCUUACCUGAUGUGUCUCACACCGCAUGUGUUUUUGUUUGUUUUGGUCUCUCGUGCGCUCAUCUUUGUAGGUCUCGGUCUUUUGCCCGCAGGAUACAAAAAAGAGAGAGCCCCCCUCCCCCUUCACCACCCCCCUCUAUCCCACACGCAAACACAUACGCACACUCAAUGAAACAAAAAGGGACAUACCUGCUCGCAUAUUUUAUGUUUUUUUUUUUUCGCGUUUUCGAUUUGCUUUCCUCUGCCUUCUGCUCCCUUCUCUCCUACCCCUUUCAUAAUGUACAGAUUCUCCUCCUUCCUCUUGCCACACCCCCUUCCCAAGUUGGACUGUAGCUCUUGAAUGGCGGUUCUUGCGUUGAGAUGCCUAUUUUUACUCUUCCUUUGUCUUCUUAAUUCGAGCCCUCUCCCUUUUUCUCUCUCAUGCUCAACUGUACUCUGUCGGAGCAGGUAAAGACACGGAUGAACUUGGAAGUGGACCACGAGCUUAUGAGGUCACUCGAUGAGAAGGCUAUGCACGCCCUUCUAUCAACUGCCUCCUCUCUGCGUCCUUUUUGCCAUUUGGCUGCUUCCUCCACACCGGUCGAAAAAAAGGAAAGAAAAACAAUCAACUGUUCCACACACACCUCCUUUCACGCCCCUCACUCUCUCAGUUUUAUUAUUAUAACUCUUUGCACACCUGCCCACGCAAGAAGCUCUUGUGUUCGCCUGUGUGUGAUGCUGGGUGUCAUUCAACGCUCUCUCACACUUCUUGAUGGGUUUACGGAGUAG